UUGGGAUCCGAUUUAGCCAUGCUAGUCGUACGAGUUUAGACUCGUGGCGAAUAGCUCAGUAACACGUGGCCAAACUACCCUUCGGACCGCAAUACCCUCGGGAAACUGAGGCUAAUAGCGGACACCACACGCAGACUGGAAUGUCGCGUGUGUCAAACGCUCCGGCGCCGAAGGAUGUGGCUGCGGCCGAUUAGGUAGACGGUGGGGUAACGGCCCACCGUGCCAAUAAUCGGUACGGGUCAUGAGAGUGAGAACCCGGAGACGGAAUCUGAGACAAGAUUCCGGGCCCUACGGGGCGCAGCAGGCGCGAAACCUUUACACUGCACGCCAGUGCGAUAAGGGGAUCCCAAGUGCGUAGGCAUAGAGCCUACGCUUUUGUCCACCCUAGGGUGGUGGACGAAUAAGGGCUGGGCAAGACCGGUGCCAGCCGCCGCGGUAAUACCGGCAGCCCAAGUGAUGGCCGAUCUUAUUGGGCCUAAAGCGUCCGUAGCUGGCCGCACAAGUCCAUCGGGAAAUCCACCUGCUCAACAGGUGGGCGUCCGGUGGAAACUGUGUGGCUUGGGACCGGAAGGCGCGACGGGUACGUCCGGGGUAGGAGUGAAAUCCUGUAAUCCUGGACGGACCGCCGAUGGCGAAAGCACGUCGCGAAAACGGAUCCGACAGUGAGGGACGAAAGCUAGGGUCUCGAACCGGAUUAGAUACCCGGGUAGUCCUAGCCGUAAACACUGCCUGCUAGGUGUGGCACCCACUACGAGUGGGUGCUGUGCCGUAGGGAAGCCGCUAAGCAGGCCGCCUGGGAAGUACGUCCGCAAGGAUGAAACUUAAAGGAAUUGGCGGGGGAGCACUACAACCGGAGGA
rnacentral:rRNA from 1 species